rnacentral:misc_RNA from 1 species
GAUGAAGAACGUAGCGAAAUGCGAUACGUAGUGUGAAUUGCAGAAUUCAGUGAAUCAUCGAAUCUUUGAACGCACAUUGCGCCCUUUGGUAUUCCAAAGGGCAUGCCUGUUCGAGCGUCAUUUGUACCCUCAAGCUUUGCUUGGUGUUGGGCGUCUUGUCUCUAGCUUUGCUGGAGACUCGCCUUAAAGUAAUUGGCAGCCGGCCUACUGGUUUCGGAGCGCAGCACAAGUCGCACUCUCUAUCAGCAAAGGUCUAGCAUCCACUAAGCCUUUUUUUCAACUUUUGACCUCGGAUCAGGUAGGGAUACCCGCUGAACUUAAGCAUAUCAAUAAGCGGAGGA